rnacentral:rRNA from 1 species
UAGGGAAUAUUGCGCAAUGGACGCAAGUCUGACGCAGCAACGCCGCGUGAGUGAAGAAGGCCUUCGGGUUGUAAAGCUCUGUCGAGUGGGACGAAAAACUUACGGUUAAUAGUCGUGAGUCUGACGGUACCACUAAAGGAAGCACCGGCUAACUCCGUGCCAGCAGCCGCGGUAAUACGGAGGGUGCAAGCGUUGCUCGGGAAUUAUUGGGCGUAAAGGGUAGGUAGGUGGUCUCGUUUGUCUGAGGUGAAAGCCCUGGGCUUAACUCAGGAAGUGCCUCAGAAACGGCGAGACUGGAGUCCUGGAGAGGGUCGUGGAAUUCCCGGUGUAGCGGUGAAAUGCGUAGAGAUCGGGAGGAACACCAGAGGCGAAGGCGGCGACCUGGACAGGUACUGACACUAAACUACGAAAGCGUGGGGAGCAAACAGGAUUAGAUACCCCAGUAGUCCCUGAGCGGGCUGGCAAGGCGCAU